GAAAUGCGAUAAGUAGUGUGAAUUGCAGAAUUCAGUGAAUCAUCGAAUCUUUGAACGCACAUUGCGCCCUUUGGCAUUCCGAAGGGCAUACCUGUUCGAGCGUCAUUUACACCCCUCAAGCCUAGCUUGGUGUUGGGCGUUUGUCCCCGCGUUGCGCGGUGGACUCGCCUCAAAAGCAUCGGCGUCCGGCGGUUGGUCUUGCGCGUAGCAAAUUGUUCGCACAAGGGCCAGGCCGCGGGGCUGCCGCACACGUCUAUGAUUCUCAGUUUGACCUCGGAUCAGGUAGGGAUACCCGCUGAACUUAA
rnacentral:misc_RNA from 1 species